ACUUUCUCGGUCUCUCCAGGACACUAUCACUUUGCUUUCUCCACUCCUCACUUCUUCCUCCGCCAGCCGCCUCCUCUGCAGCAGGCCGCAUCCUCUCCUGGCACAACGUCGGCCGGCGCCCUCACCCCCUCCCACCCCACACCACCACCACCACCACGCCCACUAGGGCCUCGCCCCUCCCCGCUGUCCCUUAUCCCCAUCACGGCCUCGCCUCGCCCCCUCCUCUCACCACCGCAGCCUUGCGUCGCCUCCAACCCCGCUGAUCUUCCCUAGAUCGACUUUGCCGCCUCCAUCCUACUGCCCCAAAGGAGAUCGAGAUGCGAGCUGGUUGACACAGUGCAGGAGCAGUCAUACCAAAUUGGAUUGAGAUCCAGUGCGUGGACGCGCCCACCAUAACCAUCGCCCCCCGUGCUUGGCUCAAACAGUCGCUCAACAGGUCGAGUUCGCGGCUCGCACACGUGCUCUACAGGAUCAGUCUGAUCUCUCUGUCGCCGGUGUUGUCAUAAUGGCUUGUAAUCGACCAGACUACUUGUAGAGGACAGUUGAAUCUAUCCUCAAGUAUCACAAAGCGGUUGCUUCAAAGUUCCCACUAUUUAUAUCAUAGGAUGGUACAAAUGGAGAAGUAAAAAAAGGUCCAGAGUUAUACCCAAAUAACAUUUAUGUAGGUGUGGAAAAGAAACACAUGCUCUAAGCUCAAUUGCCUAAUAGUAUAACAGUUUGAAGCCCUUUAUAUGCACGGGCAUUUUUACCUCGUCCUCUAUAGUUUGAAGCCCUUCCGAGCCGGGUGUUUGUGCCAAUUCCUUGUUCUCAACGGCCACCAUUUGUUGACUUGUUCGUUGUCGGUUAAUUUCUGAGAACAAUAUUAAAAGAAUUACCCGUAUGUAGGAUAUAAUAUAAUUAGAAUGAUUUUGGAAAUAGUUGGAAAAGAAAAGUCACCUGUGUAUGUUCAGAAUCUUUGGUCUCUCUAUUUGCUAUGUUUUCUUUAAGAAUAGGUGUAUAUUGUGGGCUCUACGCGUAAUUAUUUUCCUGCACUUCAUUAUUGUUGAGUAUUUCACUUGAUUCGUCAUCACUCGGUAGCUGAAACAUAUGGUAGUAUAAUAUUAUAACAGAGAGAAUAUCUUUUUGAUAUGAUAUUGUAAUAAUUUUUUUACAAAGUGAUCUGUGGCGUUAGAAUUAGAAUAGUAAUGAAAUGUGGAAAGAAAACUUGCCUCUGUCGAUUCGGCGAUUGUAUCUCCAUCCUUGGUUCUCACAGCAUCAAAAAGCAUGUUUAGUGGACCCUCCGUAAUGGACUCUUGUGUAGCCUUUGUGGACUCGGGAUCUGUAUCCUCCUGUAUGGUUAUCAGCUCAUCAAUCUGCAUAUUCUAUGUAUCCUCCAUAAUAUAUUCUUCUUGUAUCGCCUCUGCCGACUCAGUGUUUGUAUCCUCGUCUUUCUUUAUCACCUCUUCAAUCUGCAUCUUAUCUAUAUCCUCAUCCUUUGCUACCUUCUUGAUGUUUUCCUGAAAACCCAAGCAUGACACUUUUAAAUAGGAAACCUUGCAUAGGAAGAAGAGAGAUAUAAAGUGUCUUUACCGUGUUUCUAUACAAGACAACUCGAGCAAUAGUUGUUUUUACUCUGUAUGGCAGUUAAUAUGAGCCACAAUUGAUUACCAUAUGAACUGUUGCCUCUGUAGGAUUGAAGUGGUGGUCGUAACACAGGCAGUUGGGAGGACCCAAUGGCAUAGUCGAUAUUACUGACAUUUUCCUUGUUUCUAUCUGGUGUUCUUAAUGAAUUUGGACAAGAAGUGGAGUCUGGUCCCUCACUAUCACAUCAACAGGUAUGCCUACAUCAUAAUUGUAUGUACAAUGUUAGUUGUUGACCCACAGAUGCUGGUAUUAUGGUUGGAUGUAGGAGAACACAUGACCUUUCGCAGGUGGUGUGUGUCGUUGCUGGGUGACAGCAGACUGCGCACUGGGCCUCUCCACAGUGUCAAAACAUGUCCAAAAGAACACUUAAUUAACAUGAUUUUACAUGUGAUUCAUGAAUAUAUGAUAGAAAAUAGAGAAAAUGGAGUAACCAGGCGACAUGGCCCCGGGUGGCUUAGAUGUAGUGUUGAUUCCAUUUAGGAUAGCAGCGGUAGCUUUCUUACAAUCCCUUGCCUCAUGUCUUUCCUUUAAUAUUGCAUCCUUGUUUAGUGCAUACCUCUCUUUUUCCCUCUGUCUCUUCAGCUCUUUUGGAUCUGAUUUUUGACCUGCGAGACAAUGACAUAUUCUGGAUUUACAAGAUCUAAGUAGGUAAGAGUAGGUAAUAUAUGUAUUUACCUGAAUUGAUGUUGUUCGUCGGGUCCUGAAAGGGAGUACGUACCCCAGUACACUGAGAGGAUGCCAUAUUGUUUUCUCAAUGGUUCUUUUUGUGAAACACUUAUUCAAUCCUUCGUCAACUCAGUUUGUUCAUGAUGUACUGUAAGUAUCAAAUUUCACAAUACAAAUUACAGUCUGUUAGAUUAAAAGAGCAAUUUCGUUUGUCUUUUGUCAGAUCAUAAGACGUGCAAAUUAAAUUGAUCUAACAGGUGCACUGGCAGGUCGAGAAGUUGCAGGCCACACAGGGUAAUGCCACCGGAGGUAGGGCAGCGCGCCGGGUUGAGGACCUCGCAGACAGGGCGAGGGCGGCGUGGCGAGGAUGGCGGGGCGAGGAGAGAUAGGGCAGCAAGGCGGGUCGAGAGCGUCGUGGACACCAGCGGCGAGGGCGGCUGGCCGAGGCAAGAUUCGUGGCGUGAUGCCGGCGGCGUUGAUCAUGGAGGUUUGUGGCGUGGUGUCGGCUUUGAUUGCGGAGGCACCGUUUAAUUCCCUCGAGGUAUCAUCGUUGGGCUCUGUAGCAUCCUGAACGGGGGAGUCUGCCGGCAGAACAUUUGUGUUCAACCGUAGAUCUGAUUGCACUAUGGUGGAUGUAACGUAGACAGUUGGAUGCAACUAAGUGGGUCUGAUCGGACGUAGGGGUUAUCUUGUGUGCACUUUAUGGGGUGGACGUAAGAGAAGUCAUGUUUGGUCUUUUAAUAGUAGUAUAGAUAGAUUAGAUCCCUAUUGUAUAGUUUUUGGAUGUAGUUUUUUCUAGUGCAGCAUCCAUUUUUUAGAACCAGAAUUUUCUUUUCUUUUUUUAGAUGUGUGUACGCGCACGCAUUUUUGUAUAGAACAAGCAUCCAUAUCUUUUUUUUCUA